UCACGUUCCUCCCUUUGCAUUCUUGAUACUCUUUCGUUUUCAAUCGGCAAAUUGUUCCGGACGACGACGACGACGACGACGACGACGACCCGGUCCGUGCGCGCGUAGAGAUCCUCGUAACUGGCGCCGGAGCCUAGCCAGGCUCAGGACUCCCGGUCGUAGGCGUAAUAUCGUCGUCACGGCUAAAGAAGGGCAUCGACUGUUAGAGAGAAAGGAGGAAUCCACGGAAUUAGCAGACGCUACGAAAUUUGUCGUGGAGGAUCGCUAGGCUUGAGUACUUUUUGAUCCGCGACAAUGUGCAGUAGUCAGCAGGACGAUGAAACGUGGACGGGGUUAGAGGGAGGAACGAGUUCGAAAG